CCUACGGGCGGCUGCAGUGAGGAAUAUUGGUCAAUGGCCGUAAGGCUGAACCAGCCAAGUCGCGUGAAGGAAGAAGGAUCUAUGGUUUGUAAACUUCUUUUAUAGGGGAAUAAAGGUAUCCACGUGUGGAUCUUUGCAUGUACCCUAUGUAUAAGCAUCGGCUAACUACGUGCCAGCAGCCGCGGUAAUACGGAGGAUGCGAGCGUUAUCCGGAUUUAUUGGGUUUAAAGGGUGCGUAGGUUGUUUUUUAAGUCAGCGGUGAAAGUUUGUGGCUCAACCAUAAAAUUGCCGUUGAAACUGGUGGACUUGAGUGUGUUUGAGGUAGGCGGAAUGCGUGGUGUAGCGGUGAAAUGCAUAGAUAUCACGCAGAACUCCGAUUGCGAAGGCAGCUUACUAAGCCAUAACUGACACUGAAGCACGAAAGCGUGGGGAUCAAACAGGAUUAGAUACCCCAGUAGUC
rnacentral:rRNA from 1 species